AUGAGUCCAGAAGGACGGUGCCCACGUCCAGCGGCUAACACGUGGGGUUCUCCAGGUUCUCCAGCUGGCUCCAGCCUACAGCCUGGCCUUUCCACCGGACACGUAAGCAGCACGUCAUUUUCCCCAAGAGCUCAGCGGUGCGUCCCUUCGCAUCGGCAGAACAAGCGUUCCAUGACGCUCGUCCUCCCAGGUCACAAGCUCGCCGAGAACACCACCACGGUUCUGGUAGCCUUCAUAGAGCAGGACGGCGGCCCAGAAAGGUCUGUGGCUGAGUUCCUGCUGAGUCUACCUGGACUACGGAGGCUUCACAGGUGAUGACGAACUUUCUUUACCGGUUGAUCAACUUGAAAUCUGCACGUGAAUUUUAUUUUGAAGGAUUCUGGACGAUUUGCUCAUCUGUCCUGUUUGAAUUCCUGUCUAAAACACACUUUAGCUCCUGAACGGCAGAAGAAGCGUGGAUAACAGGACGUGUGUCUCGGGUCGUGUGAGGCCUCACGAGUCGUUUCUAAAUGCUAAUCAUGUAAACGUUCAUGGAGGCGGUCACGUAGCAGUGAGACACAGAAACAAGCAGCAGAUAAAAGGAUUUUCAUGCUGCAGGCGCCUCCCCGGCUCUUCUACGGGUUCGCCUGCAGGGAAUGUUGGGAAAGCAGCUCCUCCAGCAUCCUCACGACAAGAAAACUCAGCUGGAGGAUUAAAACCUCGUUCCUGUGCUCUGCUGCACCAACCGUACGCUCUCAGGUGUGUGUGUGUGUGUGUGUGUGUGUGUGUGUGCGUGCGUGCGUGCGUGCGUGCGUGCGUGCGUGUGUGUGUGAGCGACGUCAGUUAAAGGGUUCCAGAUCAUCUGAGUAUUUCGUGUUCUCAUGUGAUAAAAGCUGAGGAGCAGCAGAUCUGAUGCAGAUAAUCGGCUCCACAUCCUGCAGCGUUUCACACCAACAACAGCAGCCACUGUUCCCAGAUCAGAGGGAACGGGAAUUCAGCAGAACGAGCUUCUGGUUUCCACCAGAACCACGGGAUGAUCUGAGAGAGACAGAAGACACAUCUGUGGGUCUGACCUGCAGCAGAGCCUCAGAAACCGCACAUCAAGCCCAGAACCUGAAGGACACAUCGUGUUUCUGCUGUAAAAAUCACCUCCAAGCAAUAAAAGUGUUUCAUUUGGACUAAAAGUUCUGACCCAACCCGUUCCCGGUUCCUGUCCAAAUCACCUAAAACAGCAGGAACUUCAUCCAGGAAGUCCAGUUUGUUCGGGAAACGGCAAUAAUAAUAAAAAAACAGCUGAUUAACUUUUAAUCCAUCCAAUCAGAGCCCCAGCUGCUGCUCGCUCACACUGCCACCUACUGGCUGCUGCAGGACUGGGUCCAGAUCCAUGAGCUGGACCAGAACCAAAACCCGCCUCAGGGCCAGAAUCUUCUACUUCCUGUUGAAAUGAUUUGAUCCCGUCACUAACAGGAAGCAGCGUUUCAUUUAGGAUUUCAGUUACUAAAAUGAAGUUUUCAUUCAGGAGCUCAUGAGGAGAAAAUCCCCCGAGGGCCAUGUGACACGCAGGUAUCAUGUGUCGUUAUGAUGUCAUCGUUAUUUUAACGCAUCAUCUCACAUCAGAAACAACAAAAACGCCAACGAUCCGCUCAGCUGGUCGGGAUUCUGAUUCCAGCUGGACAGGAACCUGAAACCUCCGCAGCAUCAUCACGCCACGCCUUCAGCUCAGAGAACAACACACACACACACACACACGCACACACACACACACACAC
ensembl:lncRNA